UUGACAUGCCUCGAAUCCUCUUGAAAGAGAGCGGUGCCUUCAGGAAGGUGGACACAGGUGGUGCAUGGUUGUCGUCAGUUCGUGCCAUAAGGUGUUGGGUCAAGUCCCGCAACGAGGGCAACCCUCGUUUUUAGUUGCCAUCGUUGAGUUUAGAACCAUGAGCAGACUGCCGGUGAUAAGCCGAAGGAAGGUGAGGAUGACGUCAAGUCAUCAUGAAGAAGAA
rfam:Prunus persica cultivar Lovell chromosome G3, whole genome shotgun sequence.